ACGGGACAGCCUCAGUCCUGCUCUAGCAAAGGCAGCAACAUCCCUUGCUUAAACAGAAAGCAAAACUGAGCGAGGGAUUCCAGAACUUCUCGGAAAUCAGUCGACCCACCCCUGCCCUUCUUGGUGGGAGGGGCAGGGGUGCGUUAACAUAUUUUCGGGCACCAUUAGCUCCCUCAGAGCACAAAACACACACCAGACGUUGAGGUGCCGCGGUCCCACGGGACCGAGAUAAGAGCAGACUCAUCACAGCUCUCGCUCCCGCCGAGCCCACCAUGGGCUUUUUUCCAGUUGCCGUGGUGUUCCUUGCAGGACUCGUCAUAGGCGUUGCACUUACAGCACUGGCAAGGAAUCAGCCCAUGGACUUCACUAUAAAUUCCAAGGGUCUGCAUCUCCGUGUUGGUGA